rnacentral:miRNA from 1 species
UAUAUAUACACGAUAACAGUAGAGAGCACUCAGGAGUCUUUCAAAGUACUUUGAAAGACUCCUAAGUGCUCUCUACUGGUAUCGUAUACAAUUUGG